AGACACAUUCAAAUCAAGUUCAUUCCAGAAACUUGUUCCAGCAAAGUGGCUUUUGCCAAGUGAUAUUUCUAGUGAAAGGAUCUUGUUCCUGCAGUUGUGAUUGUAAUUUUGGUUCUUGGAUAACACAGGAAAUUUGUUUACUUGGUUCUUGCCUUUAAAAGGUUGCUUUGAGCUAGAGCAUUUGAAAAUCAAUUUUACAUUUGUGAAUCUUUCACUUAUUUGGUAAACUUGUUUCUCCUGAAAAUUUUCAUCUUGUGAUCUCAUGUAACUUGUCCUAUGAUCGUUAUUAUUGGAUACUUGUACUUUCACUUAAAUUUUGGGAUUAAACUAGUUUUGGUUUGUUUUGCUAGUUCUUCAAGCAAUAUUUGCCAGUGAAACAAUCCAAGAUAUUAUUCCUUUGGCUUCAAAUGCAAUUUUGAUUCUUGGACAAGGAAGCUUAUUUGCAUAUACAAUUUCCUGAAGGUGCUUGGUGGUUGUCUCUCUAUUGCAUUUUACAACCUUAGCAGUUUAUUUUGGAGGGCAUAUCCAGGACAAUUUAUUUUGAUUUGUGCCAGUUGAGGGGAUUCAGGGAUCUAAAGUGUAUUUUACAGAAGUAUGUUUCACAUAGCAAUUAAAUUAACAGAGUUUUUCAAUUUAUCUUUGCCAUUACCAAUCUUAUUGUGAAAUAAUCUAACUCAUUUUACAUUGAAUUCAGUUGGUUGCGUUUGAUUAUUUGAUUCCCUUGGUUCUGUUUGUCAUCAUUUCUCAUGUCAUGAGCUGCAGUUGCCUCCAAGGACACCGAGCUCUUGUAGGUAUGCGGGAUCUUGCACUCAUAAUGUCUUUCUUCAGAGGUUAAAUUUUCAUCCCUUGAAUAAAUUAAGUCUUCUUACUUUCUGAAAAAAUAGCAUAUAAAAUAGGCAUACACAAUGAGAUUUCCCCAUUAUGUUUGGAAAAAAAAAAAGGAAUGGAUUUGUACUGAUUCACAGAAAAAAACAUGCAAGCGUUUUUAUAUUAAAAGAACUUAAAAUUCUCUAUGUUGGGAUGUAGUCCUUGGAGAUAAUUUCAUUCUAGUAUUCCAUAAGAAAUGUUUUUUUUCUCUACAAAACAGCGUUCGGACAUCUCAUAUCAUGCUUUGUUUUUCCCCCAUGUUCCUUGACAUUUUAAGGCAAAGGUAGGGUCUAUGAUAUAUAAUUAACAGUAAUGGUCCACAGAAAGACAUUUGUUUCAAAUCCCGUGAUGAAUAGAAUGUAAUUGUUUCAUUUGAAAAGGAUGUGUGAAUGCCCAAAACUUACAAAAAAACUGUCUGCUGAGAAAUAAUAUAAAGGGACCAGUUGGGUGCCUGUUGGUGGAGUUCUGAAUCAGGGGCAAGAUUGGAUGUUUCAACAAUUCAUGCCAGUCCCAGGUCCUGCUUCCAUAAAGUAACAAGAAACUCAUGGUGGAUGGUAAACAUAUAAACAUUUUGCCUGUUGUUUAGUGGUUCAUCUGUUAUCUGCUCUUCUCCCGUUUGUGGUGCUAGCAAAAAAAUUGAGAUUGUCAGGGGGAGUAUUAAACCAGCGUGCACCCGAAGGAUCACAAAGAUACUUUCUGAGUAGGAGUUUUGCUUCUUGUGGAAUGCAUGUCUAUGAAGAAUGCGACUUAUUUUUGUUUUUGUUACCCACGAAGAAUGAUGAGCAAAACUUGUAAUUUUGGUCUAUGUUAUUUUAAAUUAUGAACAACAUUAUGUAUUUAAACAUUAUAUAUGUAUUAUGGAACAUUAUGUAGUUGAGUAAUUUUGUUGAUGCGUAGUUAGGAAUGUAAGAAUAUUUUUGUU